AUGGACCUGGCCUACUGGCGUAGCGGUGAUGAAAAGAAGACGGCCUCUGUUGUAGACAGCUGUCCCAAGACUCCUGACCAGACCUAUGAAUCUUCCAGUGUGUCGUCUCUGCUAAAGCACGUGAAACAGCAGGCGAAUGUCUUAAGUGAUCCUACAUCCGGUCUUCAUUUGUUUGCUGGGCUCUCUUCAGGGUAUCUUUGGAACCAAAACCUCCUGCCGUAUGGCCAGGGGAAGAGGCCGUGGUGGAGAGGAGCAGAGAGAACCUUUCGUCCUGCAAGUGGGUGUUUUGUUUGGAGGAGAACUGGCUGGCUGUCACCUGAAGAAUCACCUGCAAGCCCCGGGAGCUGCCGCGGGGAUACUGAACAGUGGGAACCACUGCUCUGUCGGAUUUGAGGGCAUCUGCAGGUGUUGCAAUGGGGUACUGUGUUGUGUUUCAAAAUAAUUUCCUC
rnacentral:lncRNA from 1 species